AUUGAACGCUAGCGGGAUGCUUUACACAUGCAAGUCGAAUGAGUGGCGGACGGGUGAGUAAUAUAUCGGAACGUGCCCAGUAGCGGGGGAUAACUACUCGAAAGAGUGUCUAAUACCGCAUACGAUUGGAGUGGCCGCUUUGGGAUUAGCUAGGUGGUGGGGUAAAGGCUCACCAAGGCAACGAUCCGUAGCUGGUUUUAGAGGACGACAAGCCAAACGGGGACUGAGAAACGGCCCAGACUCCUACGUGAGGCAGCAGUGGGGAAUUUUGGACAAUGGGGGAAACCCUGAUCCAGCCAUCCCGCGUGUAUGAGAAGGCCUUCGGGUUGUAAAGUACUUUUGGCAGAGAAGCGGUAUCUGCAGAAUAAGCACCGGCUAACUACGUGCCAGCAGCCGCGGUAAUAC
rnacentral:rRNA from 1 species